rnacentral:rRNA from 1 species
UACGGGAGGGUGCGAGCGUUGUCCGGAAUCAUUGGGCGUAAAGGGCGCGUAGGUGGCCCGGUCAGUCCGUGGUGAAAGCGCGGGGCUCAACCCUCGCGUCGGCCAUGGAUACUGCCGCGGCUGGAGCACUGUAGAGGCAGGCGGAAUUCCGGGUGUAGCGGUGGAAUGCGUAGAGAUCCGGAAGAACACCGGUGGCGAAGGCGGCCUGC